rnacentral:miRNA from 15 species
GCAAUGUAUAGCCUACAUAACU